rfam:Macleaya cordata isolate BLH2017 scaffold209, whole genome shotgun sequence.
GUCAAGAUGGCCGAGUUUGUCUAAGGCGCCAGUUUCAGGUACUGGUCCGAAAGGGCAUGGGUUCGAAUCCAAUUCUUGACA